rnacentral:sRNA from 1 species
AUUAUUUUGCCUUGCGACGGUCCCAUUUCAUCAUAAACUCUAAUCUCUUAUGCUAUUCAUCAUUAUUCAACUACCAAAAAUGUCAAAGCAGUUCAACAUUAGCUCAGACUGUUCAACGUUGGAGUACGGAAGUCUUUCAACGUAAUUUCAAGAUAGCUUAAAGUCUUAAACAUUGACAACAUACAAUCACUCUAGAAAUGAGAACAGCUACAUAUCUCCACGUUCAUAAAGCUUGGAUUGAGAUAUAUUAAUCUUCAAAAAUCCAUAUUGCAAUUAAAAGUUGAAUAGUAGUCACUAGUUAGAAAUCAUAUUCAAAAUUGAUCAUUAGUAAAUAAAGGGCAAGACAGAGAGAAGGUUUUGAGAAUUGACUACACAAUACCUAGAAAAAAAACAGUAAAAUGCAGCUGCUGCUGAUGUGUUUCAGAAUCAAAAUGCCAGCCACCUCAACAGAGUAACACACAUCAACCUAUAGGUUCUACUGUGUUCUGGAAAGAGCAAAUGUUCUGACCAUGAGAUUCAUGAUUCAUGAUUCAUUGAUAGAAAUUGCAAUGCUAGAAGCUACCCUUGUCAUCCUAAUAAGUGCAAUGAAUAAAAUCCAUCCAUUUACUGAUAUCUGAUGUUCUUUGGCUAGCAAUAAAAUAUUUUUAAGCUAAAAAUUUUGCUUCCAUUACUGAAUUUUUAUUUGUUAUGAAUUACAACUGUUUUCUAGCUCAACCCAGUAUACGAAAGGUUCCAAUUAAUUUUCAAUAACAAGACAGUGAAUCAUAAAUAAUAUACAAUGAAACUCAUUUCAUGAUUAUUUGGCACUUACUCAUAGCUUCCAGCUUCUGAAUCUGGUCUUUUAAGGUCUUAGGAUCUUUCUUCAAAAUGCCAACUUCCCUCACGUUCUUCCUCUCUUUUUUAUUCUGCAUUACAAGAUCAAUGACAAUCUCAGAAUUUACAAUGCACAAUCACAUUUCAUAUUAACUAACUAAAUUAAACAACCAAACACAAUUAAUGUCAAGUGCAACUUAUUAAGAAAUUUAUAACAGCUCCACGAAUCCAAAUUAGCCAAAAAAUUACUAUUAUAUCCUAGUAAAGUCGACCAUUUCCUCACGUGCCCAAUUAACUUCUUUCCUAAAGAGAGAUAUUGUUUGGCCCACGUUAAAUUUCAUUACAUUUCAUUUUUCUCUCCUAUUUUCAACCACACAAUCUUUCAUAAAAUAAUAUUACACGUAAAUAUAAAAUUUUUCCUUUUUUUUCAACCACUCAUUUUUCAAAAAAUUACUAUUCCACGCAUUUUCAUUUCUAGAAAAUGGGGGCCAAACGGGGGCUAAAAAUACAGAAAAAAGAGAAAUUUGAUCGACAGCCCCACUAAACAUCAAAUAAAAAGGUAACUUUCGUUCAAAAUAUAAAAUCAAAAGUAGCAGUGGAAUUUUCGGAAUGAAGCAUACUUAAGACAAAGAAAUUAAAGAAAACCAUAAUUAGGAAAAAUAAUUAAAAUUCAAAUGGUGGAUAUAUAUAUAUAUAUAUAUAAACGUACCCUUUUUAAUUCCUUUUUACGGAGCUCCUUCCUGUAAGCGUCGGUAGGGCUCAUAGUUUUGCCUCGCUUCGUAGUCUUUACCAUCUUGUCGUUCUUUUUAAUUCGUUAACACUUUUCUUCACUUCCUACUUAUAUUUUCGUGUUCAAAACGGUGUCGUCGCUUGCUCUCUAUAUUCUUCCUGAAAUUCGAUUUGGGAGUUCGCAUAGGCUUUUGCUAUAUAGGGAAGAUGAAAGAGUAGUUAUUUAUUUAUAAUUAAUUAUUAUUUAGGAAAAUGAGUUGUGAAGGCCGCCAGUCAAUGUCCUUUUGUUCAAGAGGCUUCUGACCAAAUUUUUAAAAAUAAAAUGCAAUUUAAUUAUUUAUAAAUAUGAAAAGACUAUUAUAAUCUUACCUUCUAAAACCAAAUUGAAGAAGAAAUUGGUACUUUCAAUUACGUCAAAGAUUAUAAUCUUCUCCAAAUUGAAAAUUGAAAACAUUCUUCUUCCCAAAAUUGAAAAUUGAAAACCCUCUUUAUCUUCAAUUCCCAAAAACUGUCUUCUUCUUCAAAUUUCCAAAACUCAUCUUCUCCUUGAUCUCAAAACCAUAAAAUAUCCUUCUUCUUGGGAGGACGACAACUGUUGAGGGUUUUGAUAUUCGAAAUUUGUAUU